rnacentral:rRNA from 1 species
AGAAUCAACGCUGGCGGCGUGCCUAACACAUGCAAGUCGCACGAGAAAGGGGAGCAAUCCCUGAGUAAAGUGGCGCACGGGUGAGUAACACGUGAAUCAUCUACCUUCGAGUGGGGAAUAACUGGAAGAAAUUUCAGCUAAUACCGCAUAAUACCUACGGGUCAAAGCAGCAAUGCGCUUGAAGAGGAGUUCGCGGCAGAUUAGUUAGUUGGCGGGGUAACGGCCCACCAAGACGAUGAUCUGUA